UACGUAGGUGGCAAGCGUUGUCCGGAAUUAUUGGGCGUAAAGCGCGCGCAGGUGGUUUCUUAAGUCUGAUGUGAAAGCCCACGGCUCAACCGUGGAGGGUCAUUGGAAACUGGGGAACUUGAGUGCAGAAGAGGAAAGUGGAAUUCCAAGUGUAGCGGUGAAAUGCGCAGAUAUCAGGAGGAACACCGGUGGCGAAGGCGGCUCACUGGCUCGUUUCUGACGCUCAGGCGCGAUAGCGUGGGGAUCAAACAGG
rnacentral:rRNA from 1 species